rnacentral:rRNA from 1 species
CCUGCCCAUUGAAUUUUUAAAAGGCCGCGGUAUUUUGACUGUGCAAAGGUAGCAUAAUAAUUAGUUUUUUAAUUGAAAACUAGAAUGAAAGGUUGAACAAAGAAAAAUCUGUCUUUAAUUUUUUUUUGAAAUUUACUUUUAAGUGAAAAGGCUUAAAUUAAUUUAAGGGACGAUAAGACCCUAUAAAUCUUUACAUUUAUUUAAUAUUUUAUAAUUAAGUUGGAAAUUUAUUAUUAUAUUAAUAAUAUGUUAUAUUGGGGUGAUAAUGAUAUAAU